UACGGAGGGGACUAGCGUUGUUCGGAAUUACUGGGCGUAAAGCGCACGUAGGCGGCUUUGUAAGUCAGGGGUGAAAUCCCGGGGCUCAACCUCGGAACUGCCUUUGAUACUGCAAAUCUCGAGUCCGGAAGAGGUGAGUGGAAUUCCUAGUGUAGAGGUGAAAUUCGUAGAUAUUAGGAAGAACACCAGUGGCGAAGGCGAGUCCCUGGACAACUCCUGACACUGAGGCACGAAAGCUAGGGGAGCAAACAGG
rnacentral:rRNA from 1 species